AAUAUCUUGCAUGUUACAGAUUUCACUGCUCCCACCAGCUUGGAGACAACAUGUGGUUCUUGACAACUCUGCUCCUUUGGGUUCCAGUUGAUGGGCAAGUGGACACCACAAAGGCAGUGAUCACUUUGCAGCCUCCAUGGGUCAGCGUGUUCCAAGAGGAAACCGUAACCUUGCACUGUGAGGUGCUCCAUCUGCCUGGGAGCAGCUCCACACAGUGGUUUCUCAAUGGCACAGCCACUCAGACCUCGACCCCCAGCUACAGAAUCACCUCUGCCAGUGUCAAUGACAGUGGUGAAUACAGGUGCCAGAGAGGUCUCUCAGGGCGAAGUGACCCCAUACAGCUGGAAAUCCACAGAGGCUGGCCACUACUGCAGGUCUCCAGCAGAGUCUUCACGGAAGGAGAACCUCUGGCCUUGAGGUGUCAUGCGUGGAAGGAUAAGCUGGUGUACAAUGUGCUUUACUAUCGAAAUGGCAAAGCCUUUAAGUUUUUCCACUGGAAUUCUAACCUCACCAUUCUGAAAACCAACAUAAGUCACAAUGGCACCUACCAUUGCUCAGGCAAGGGAAAGCAUCACUACACAUCAGCAGGAAUAUCACAAUACACUGUGAAAGAGCUAUUUCCAGCUCCAGUGCUGAAUGCAUCUGUGACAUCCCCACUCCUGGGGGGAAUCUGGUCACCCUGAGCUGUGAAACAAAGUUGCUCUUGCAGAGGCCUGGUUUGCAGCUUUACUUCUCCUUCUACAUGGGCAGCAAGACCCUGCGAGGCAGGAACACAUCCUCUGAAUACUAAAUACUAACUGCUAGAAGAGAAGACUCUGGGUUAUACUGGUGCGAGGCUGCCACAGAGGAUGGAAAUGUCCUUAAGCGCAGCCCUGAGUUGGAGCUUCAAGUGCUUGGCCUCCAGUUACCAACUCCUGUCUGGUUUCAUGUCCUUUUCUAUCUGGCAGUGGGAAUAAUGUUUUUAGUGAACACUGUUCUCUGGGUGACAAUACGUAAAGAACUGAAAAGAAAGAAAAAGUGGAAUUUAGAAAUCUCUUUGGAUUCUGGUCAUGAGAAGAAGGUAAUUUCCAGCCUUCAAGAAGACAGACAUUUAGAAGAAGAGCUGAAAUGUCAGGAACAAAAAGAAGAACAGCUGCAGGAAGGGGUGCACCGGAAGGAGCCCCAGGGGGCCACGUAGCAGCGGCUCAGUGGGUGGCCAUCGAUCUGGACCGUCCCCUGUCCACUUGCUCCCCGUGAGCACUGCGUACAAACAUCCAAAAGUUCAACAACACCAGAACUGUGUGUCUCAUGGUAUAUAACUCUUAAGGCAAAUAAAUGAACUGACUUCAACUGGGA